ACGAACGCUGGCGGCGUGCUUAACCCAUGCAAGUCGAACGGAAAGGCCCUGCUUUUGUGGGGUGCUCGAGUGGCGAACGGGUGAGUAACACGUGAGUAACCUGCCCUUGACUUUGGGAUAACUUCAGGAAACUGGGGCUAAUACCGGAUAGGAGCUCCUGCUGCAUGGUGGGGGUUGGAGAGUUUCGGCGGUUGGGGAUGGACUCGCGGCUUAUCAGCUUGUUGGUGGGGUAGUGGCUUACCAAGGCUUUGACGGGUAGCCGGCCUGAGAGGGUGACCGGCCACAUUGGGACUGAGAUACGGCCCAGACUCCUACGGGAGGCAGCAGUGGGGAAUAUUGCACAAUGGGCGGAAGCCUGAUGCAGCAACGCCGCGUGCGGGAUGACGGCCUUCGGGUUGUAAACCGCUUUCGCCUGUGACGAAGCGUGAGUGACGGUAAUGGGUAAAGAAGCACCGGCUAACUACGUG
rnacentral:rRNA from 1 species